UACGUGAGCAGCGAGUCGUUGUUCGGAAUACUGGGCGUAAAGCGCACGUAGGCGGCUUUGCAAGUCAGAGGUGAAAGCCCGGGGCUCAACCCCGGAAUUGCCUUUGAGACUGCAUCGCUAGAAUUGUGGAGAGGUAAGUGGAAUUCCGAGUGUAGAGGUGAAAUUCGUAGAUAUUCGGAAGAACACCAGUGGCGAAGGCGACUUACUGGACACAUAUUGACGCUGAGGUGCGAAAGCGUGGGGAGCAAACAGG
rnacentral:rRNA from 1 species